GGCUAGGAGGGCCGGGGAUAUUUGAAGAUAUCCACCCAGUACUGCCAACCAGAGACAUGUCAGGUUGGACAGCUGAAAUUAGAGAUUUUUGUCUUCUCAGAAUCUGUAAAUAUUAAUGGACUUUCCAUGUUGUUUGGCCUACGUUUCAGGUAAAAUCUUACCCUGAGCUCAGACAUCCUUCCAUAUCCAUUCUACUAAACAUUGGGAAGUCCAACGCAUGAGCUGUAGAGCAGCAAUGCUGAUGCAGUCUUCUGAAAAGUCAGCGGCCAGCAACAAAAAAAGGUGCACUUUCCCUUUCUCAUGGAGCAUAUGGAACACUUGUAGGAAGUGACUGUAUGAUUAAAAAAACCAAGCACCUUUGACUUUACAUAUAAAGAGUAUAUAGAGAACUAUCAGCUAAUCAGGGAAUAUCAUACCUGCAGAAAUCACAGUUUUGAUCUUUACAGUGCAAAUGUUUCUUCAUUUGGAAAGCAACCAGGACCUGUGUUUCAUUUUCUGUCCCAACAUACCCAAGUUGUAUAAAUGAGCAUGAAGAAAGUGAGCUUGCAAAUGAGGACGAAAUCACAAAAAGUGAAAUGAUGUGGAAGAAAAACGUGUGUCUGCAGUGAAAACAUUUAAUGAUAGUGAAGAUUUUACCUGAAGAUAAAAGCAUUGAGAUGUUCUGGUUGGGCAGACUAAGGAAGGUGAGUUGAAGAAACUGUUUUCUUGCAUUUUCUUUUUGAAAUAAAAUGCAUUCAAAUUCAUGUAGUUGCUCAUAGAUGAGUGGGAUUUAUCAUCUGCCUUCGUGAAUGGUCACAGCUUGUUAUUUAAAGGUGUCUGCCUAUUUUUUCUUUUUCCUUUUUUUUUUUUUUUUUUUUUUUUAGAGAGGUAUAAUAACAAAAUAUCCCUGAAAAAGAGGGGACAGUCUUUGCUUCCUUAGGGGUCGUGAAUAUGGAAUUAAGUUUAUAGAAAUGGACAGAUAUUGGAGUAACUGCUUACUCUCACAGCUGGGUAAGAUGUAAAAGCAUAGGCCUGGUCAUGAUUGAAAUGAACAGAGCUGAUUUCCUUCCGAAAAGGCACGUGUUUUAUUGCCUUUGACCUUAAAUUCACAAUAUUCCAAUAGUAAAAAUGAAUUUACAGUCUUUUCUGUACAGUUUCUUGACUGAACUUUUAUUACCUAGGCAAGCUCGCUAGGUAGCUAAGCAUUUCUUUAGAUCAGUAAUACCAAGAAGU